CUGUUUUUUACAUGGAUUUUUUGGCUUACUCUUUGUAAAAAAGGGACUGGCCAGACGAUUUUUCCAAAUAAUCCCAGAUUUUGACAACAUCACAAGUUAAAACCAAAAUCGUAGAGUUGCUAAGACUUGUUUGAUUUGAUCUGUAAUUGGAGGAAAGGUUUUGUGAUGAUGGUGUUUGACAUAUAAUGGCUGGGAUUUGUUGCGGUGUGUUGGGGAGAUUGAACCGGCGGCACUAAUGGAUUCAAUUACUCGAGCUUUCAAUGGUAGAUGUGUAUUGAUGUUAAUUGAGAUAGAGACUAUUUGCGAAAUUUGAUUUCAUCUUAACAUCAAUUCGAAAUCUAGAAGUUGUUUCUCAUGUGAAUUAAUGUCAUUUCGAGAAAAAAAUGAUUUUGGAUUUGAUUCAAAAUUGCAAAAUUCGAAUUUAACAUCAAUUCUAAAUUUGGGUUUUGAUUAACAUCAAUUCACAUGGAGAAGAUUUUACGAAUCCAUGAACUUGUAUAUUGUUAUUUAUUUUUCCAGAAAAAAUCUGGGAUUUGAAAAGGGAAGGAGGAAGAACAGAAGAAGACGAAAGGAGAUUCAUUUUUUUU